CACGUAGGCACCAAGCGUUAUCCGGAUUUAUUGGGCGUAAAGAGCUCGUAGGCGGUUCGGUAAGUCGGGUGUGAAAACUCUGGGCUCAACCCAGAGAGGCCACCCGAUACUGCUGUGACUAGAGUGCGGUAGGGGAGCGGGGAAUUCCUGGUGUAGCGGUGAAAUGCGCAGAUAUCAGGAGGAACACCGGUGGCGAAGGCGGGUCUCCGGGCAGUAACUGACGCUGAGGAGCGAAAGCGUGGGGAGCGAACAGG
rnacentral:rRNA from 1 species